rnacentral:rRNA from 1 species
CACACCGCCCGUCACACCAUGGGAGUUGGUUUGACCUGAAGACGGUGCGCUAACCCGCGAGGGAGGCAGCCGGCCACGGUCAGGUCAGCGACUGGGUG